rnacentral:rRNA from 1 species
GCAAGUCGAGCGCUCUCUUCGGAGGGAGCGGCGGACGGGUUAGUAACGCGUGGGAAUGUACCCUUCUCUAUGGAAUAGCCAUUGGAAACGAUGAGUAAUACCAUAUACGCCCUUCGGGGGAAAGAAUUUCGGUGAGGGAUCGGCCCGCGUUAGAUUAGAUAGUUGGUGGGGUAAUGGCCUACCAAGUCUACGAUCUAUAGCUGGUUUGAGAGGAUGAUC